CCUACGGGAGGCAGCAGUGAGGAAUUUUCCGCAAUGGGCGAAAGCCUGACGGAGCAAUACCGCGUGAGGGAUGAAGGAUUUUGGUCUGUAAACCUCUUUUCUCAAGAAAGAAGUUCUGACGGUACUUGAGGAAUAAGCAUCGGCUAACUCCGUGCCAGCAGCCGCGGUAAUACGGGGGAUGCAAGCGUUAUCCGGAAUGAUUGGGCGUAAAGCGCCUGUAGGUUGUUUAUUAAGUCCGUUGUUAAAGCCUAGGGCUUAACCCUAGAAAAGCAAUGGAAACUAGUAGACUAGAGUAUGGCAGGGGUAGAGGGAAUUUCUAGUGUAGCGGUGAAAUGCGUAGAUAUUAGAAAGAACACCGGUGGCGAAAGCGCUCUACUGGACCAUUACUGACACUCAGAGGCGAAAGCUAGGGUAGCAAAAGGGAUUAGAUACCCCUGUAGUCCUAGCCGUAAACGAUGGAUACUAGAUGUUGUGCAUUAUGUACAGUAUCGUAGCUAACGUACGUUAAGUUAUCCGCCGUCGGGUAGGUACGCGUCGCGAAGGGUAGGAAACGUUAAAUAGUAAUUAGUACGGCGUGAGACGUGCCGACGGACGACACGAGGGAGUAGG
rnacentral:rRNA from 1 species